CAUGUCCUUUUGAAUUAUAAUUUAAGGUCUGAUCUGCUCAAUGAUUAAUUAAAUUGCCGCAGUAUUUUGACUGUGCAAAGGUAGCAUAAUAAUUAGCUUUUUAAUUGUAAGCUGGAAUGAAGGAUUGGACGAGAAAAUUACUGUCUCUUUUUAAUUUUUAUUGAAUUUUAUUUUUAAGUUAAAAAGCUUAAAUUUUUAUAAAAGACGAGAAGACCCUAUAGAGUUUAAUAUUUUUAUUUUAUUUGUUUUUAGAAAUUUAUUUAAAGUUAUUUAUAUUUAGUUGGGGUGAUUGGGAGAUAGAAUAAAUUCUCUUAUAUUUUAAUUGAUAAUUAUUAAAUUUUUAAUUUAAUUUUUUUAAGUUUAAAAUAAAUUACCUUAGGGAUAACAGCGUUAUUUUUCUUUAAAGUUCUUAUUGAAAGAAAAUUUUGCGACCUCGAUGUUGGAUUAAAAUAAAUUUUUGGUGCAGUAACUAAAUAAUUAGGUCUGUUCGACCUUUAAUAUU
rnacentral:rRNA from 1 species